AUAUACAACCAACUGUCAAAUCUCCAUCAAGUAUAUUUGCAUACUCGAUACAUCAGUUGCUCAAAGAGGCAGAACAAGUUCCCUGUGUUUUUGUGUCAAAAUGCCUGGCUUAGAUACUCAAGAGAACAAGCCUCCAGCAGGAUACCCAAUUGACACUCCCACCACUGGGAAGAAAUGCUUCCCUCGCACAAAAAAGAAGGGAGAAAGAGGCUUUAUCGAGGGAUGCCUCUUCGCUCUAUGUUGCUGUUGGAUCUGUGAAAUGUGCUGCUAGGUUGUGAUCCAAAUAGGAAACUUCUGUACUGGAUGUGUUGUCUUUGAUUUUCCUGCUUUUCUGUGUGAUCAUAUAUUGUAAAAAAAGUGAGAUUUUAUUAAAACGUCUUCAAACAGCCUGUAAGGUAUUUCAUUAUUUGUCUCCUCAUACAGUCAUAUACUCUGCCUUUUUUUCGA